rnacentral:lncRNA from 1 species
CCCUUCUCAUGCUGCACAUCAACCAUUAUGCUAUAAAGAUAACUUAAGUGUGGGAAAUCCUAUGGCUGUAUGCUUAGCUCUAUAUCGGUUAUGCACUAGAUAUAUUUUUGACAUUUAUACAAAAUCAAAAAAUUAAAUCUAAAUAAUAUCUUUGGGUAGCCUUUUUAGGUGGAAUCAUGAAUUGUUAUAAAUAAUAUUAGAGCAUAUGC